GCACUUGGGCGGCGCCGGAUCGGACGCUUGGCACUCUGGGCGGCCCCCCGGCGGAGUGGUGGUCCCAGGAGAACCUCCGAGGUGGGAGGGUCCCGCCCGCAUAGAGGGAUGUUCUGGAGAAGCCGGGAGCAGAGUCCGCGGGCACGCGGUGGGCGAGGGACAGUGCAGGUGCCGGGUGCGGGGGUCUCCGGGACAGUCCCCGGCACGCGCUGGUCCGCCGUGGGGCCCUGCGGUGAGCGGCGCCCCCUGGCGCGGGGGAGGAGGACGGAAGCGGGAGGUGAGGGCGAACCGGGAAGAGGGACGGUGGUCCCUGGCGCGGCGCUCCGCGUCGGGACCUGGAGGAGCUGCGCCCUCUGGCGCGGGGGCGGAGAGGCGGGCGAGAGGCCCUGGCUCUUACCUCCCGGGGUCCCGCGGGUGACGGCGGCAGCGGCCAUUCUACCCCACACCGACCCCCCCCAGCGCCGGCUGACAGCGGCGUCUAACGUCACUGCGCACGGGGCGGGGCCUCCCAAUUAAGGGGAUGAGGGUCAGGAAGGGAACCUGGGACGCUGCCAACUCCAUCCCCCAGGGAUUGUGAAGGGGGUUCCUUCUGGCUGUGACAGUGCUGAACGAGGCCAGAGAGUGCAGCUGCCUGGAGGCACAAGCCUCCUCCUGAUCCAGGGGGCUCCAGGGAGACCAAAGCAGCUGUCAAGAUGAGAGAAAUUGAAAAAGAAAAUGGAAAACUCUCCAGCCUGGCUCUCAGCUUCUGCAUCUCCAUGCAAGACCAGAGACCCACAUCACUCCCUCACUCCACCCAGUUCCACUCCAACAAUACCUGGGCCCUGCCAGGAGUGAGAAAACGGUCCUCUUCCUGUGGAUAGGUUGCUCUCUCCUCUUCCAGAUCAGGGUAUUCAUUGGUGCUGGGGAAUCCACAGCCCUCUUCGCCAAGCACCACUGGCUCAGAUGCAGCCCCAGAGCUGCCCCACUGGGCCUUCUUCAGUCUGUGGAGACUUUAGGCUGAGGAGAGAAGUGCCUGGAGGCCAGGCUUCCUGUCUCUCCAUUCUUCACCUUUCUGUUCUGAAAUACUUCCUGCUGGGACUCCAGGGAGUUGUCAUUUGACCUUUAACCCUCCACUCCCAAUUUUCUGCUCCCCUCAGACUGAAGCAUAUUGUCUAGGAACCCAGAGGUGACCCCAACCUCCCCACUGUCCUCCAGUUCUAUGGUUUGCUUUCCUGUCUUCAGUGAUCUAGUUUCCACUCCUUCCAGCUCAUGUGGCUCAUCCUCCUUACUGCAGUUCCCUCCUUCUUUCCAUAUUACAGAAAUCUGUUUCAAUCACACCAAAGCCCACAGCUUCCUUCCAAGCAACCUCCCCUCAAAGCUCCCCUCAAACCUCCCCUCAAAGCUGUCAACCCCUUCCUUAGCUCAAACUGUUCUGCCCCCAAAUCCUGCAUGACUCCCAGAACCCAGAUGUCUCCCUUCCUUACUCGUUGAUGAUGCUCUGACGCCUUCUUAGGUCCUCCAGGUGGUAAGUGACAGCCCUCACCCGGGCGGGGACUCCCCCAAGGCCCUGCUGCUGCAUUCCUUCCAAACAUGGCCUCCUCUUCUUUCUUCUCCAAAGCAUUUCAGGGGGUGGGAGCUGCUCAGGAGGAUACAGACCAAGCUGGGAGCAACCAGUGGCUCUCUGUGCCAGAGAAUGGGGAAAAAGAGCUAGAAAGAAGAACUGGCUCUCUCAAGGGAGCUUGGAUUGAACUAGGUAGGGAGUCUGGGGUCUUGGGAAGACCCCUGUGAUCUCGAAAACAUGAUGACUGAUUCAUAGAAAGGAAGGCCUGGUCAGUGCACUGGUUGGGGAAUAACAGAGGGAAGCGGUAAUAAGGAGAGCUUGGGACAGGACAGCAGUGGGUGCAAUUUUAACAGAGAAAUGUUAAACGGCAGAGGGUCUGUCUUACCAGCAUGGGUGGAAUGUGCUGCUCCUCCAGCCAAGUGGGGCUGUGAAGAACAAAAAGGGGGCUAUAAGUGCAGAGGGGACAUGUCCAUCCAUAUUGCUUCUUUAAUAAUCUCUCCCGACCUCCUUUCUGUCAUUAGGAGCUACAAUGUCCACCAGCCAGUGGGAAAUUAACCGCAGACUAGGGCCUAUUGCUAUAUGGGUUUAUGGUAGUUUAAUCCAGUUAAGACCACAUCCAGUUAGUUUCCAUUUUCUCCUCUACUCACGUGGGCCUUUGAUUAAGGUUCUUCCAGAAGACAUCUCCAUAACGCUGGGGCAUGGGUCUGAGGCUCUGGGAAGGCAACCUUGGGGGUGGAGAUCGGCUGACCACCCUGGAACACCUGAGGUGAUCUCACCCAGUACCAUGCUGUCAAUAAGCUGAUGACUCCCAAAUCUAUAUAUCCAGCCCUGGUUCCUCUCUGGGCUCCACUCAACAUCUCCUCCCCAACCUUCCUCCUCUCAAUGAAAAGCACUCAAAUGCCCAGUUGCUAAGACCAAAAACAUGGUAUGUCUCACUUUCCCUCACCUCCCACAUCUAAUCCAUCAGCAGUUCCUGUCAGUUUUACAUCUAAAAUACUGUGUACCUGAAUUUGACCACUCCUCAUCAUUCCCACUCCUACCACCAUAUAUUUCAGGUCAUCUUCCCCUUCCUGGACUGUUGCAAUGGUCUCUUCCCCCCGUCUCUGCUUCCAUUCCCAUCCCCCAACAAUAUAUUCUGCACAGAACUGUGAGAGAUGAUCAUACGAAAUAAUAUAAGGUUUGAGAUGUACUUCAAAAGAAUUUGAGAAAUAGGGGGCUAGAUGGGUAUAGAGAUGAAAAGAUUAUCCAUACAAUGAUAAUUAUUGAAGCUGACUGAAAAGGGUACAUGGGGUUCAUGAUACUAUUUUCUCUACUGUGUUUGUUUGAAAUUUUCCAUAAUAAAAAAAGUUGAAGGAAAAAAGGCUGGUCAUGUCACUCUCUGCCUUAAAACUUUUCCACUGAAUAAAAUCCAAACCGUUUUUUUUCUUCUUCUUUUUUGAGACAGUCUCACUCUGUCACCCAGGCUGGAGUGCAGUGACCCAAUUAUAGCUCACUGCAGCCUCAAAUUCCUGGGCUCAAGCAAUCCUCCUGCCUCAGCCUCCUGAGUGCUGGGACUACAGGCGUGUGCCACCAUGCCUGGCUAAUUCUUUUAAAUGUUUAUCAGAGAUGAGGUCUCACUAUGUUGCCCAGGUUGGUCUCCAAUUCCUGAGCUCAAGCAAUCCUCCCACCUUGGCCUCCCAAAGUGCUGUAAUUACAGGUGUGAGCCACCGCACCCGGCCUAUACUUGUUUUAUUUAUUUUUUCUUUCUUCUUCCUCUCCUCCCCUCUCCUCCCUUCCCCUCCCCUCCCCUCUUUUCCUUUUCUUUCUUCCAUUCUCUUUCUUUCUCUCCUUCUUUCCCUCCCUCCCUCCCUUCUUUCUUUUUAGAGACAGGGACUUGCUUUGUUGCCCAGGCUGGAGUGCAGUGCUGUAAUCAUAGCUCACUGCAGACUCAAACUCUUGGGCUCAAGCAAUCCUCCCACCUUGGCCUCCCAAAGUCCUGGGGUUAUAAGCAUGAGCCACCACACUUAGCAUAGUGUUUUGUUUUUGUUUUUUGAGAUGGUGUUUCACUCUUGUCGCCCAGGCUGGAGUGCAAUGGCACAGUCUCGGCUCACUGCACCCUCUGCCUCCCAUGUUCAAGUGAUUCUCCUGCCUCAGCCUCCUGAGUAGCAGGGAUUAUAGGCACCCGCCACCACACUCGGCUAAUUUUUGUAUUUUUAGUAGAGACGAGGUUUCACCAUGUUGGCCAGGCUGGUCUUGAACCCCUGACCUAAGGUAAUCCGCCCGCCUUGGCCUCCCAAAGUGCUCGGAUUACAGGUGUGAGCCACCACGCCUGACCUUGUUUUUUUGUUUUUUGAGACGGAGUUUCACUCUUGUUGCCCGGGCUGGAGUGCAAUGGCUCGGUCUCAGCUCACCACAACCUCUGCCUCCUGGGUUCAAGCGAUUCUCCUGCCUCAGCCUCCCGAGUAGCUGGGAUUACAGGCAUGCGCCACCACACUUGGCUAAUUUUGUAUUUUUAGUAGAGAUGGGGUUUCUCCAUGUUGGUCAGGCUGGUCUCAAACUCCCAACCUCAGGUGAUCUGCCCACCUCAGCCUUCCAAAGUGCUGAGAUUAUGGCAUGAGCCAUUGGGCCCGGCCUUUUUUUUUGAGACGGAGUCUCGCUUUGUCACUCAGGCUGGAGUGCAGUGGUGUGAUCUCGGCUCAUUGCAAGGUCCGCCUCCUGGGUUCACGCCAUUCUCCUGCCUCAGCCUCCC
rnacentral:lncRNA from 1 species